CGAGAGUUACAUAGAAUAUUGGAAAGAUGGCGGAGAUGUAAAGAAUCUAACAAUUUAUAGCAUUUAUAUAAGAUUAUGAAAUCGACGGAUUAACUACUCGGAUUAUGCGGACUAUAUGCGGAUGGUUUUGGCGGAGAUAAUCUGCACAUUUAGUUAUGUCGUUAGCAGAUUUCCUGUAUUUCUCACACUCUUAUGAUUUUUUCAAAGUGUGUGGAAUAGUGGAAUCAACAGGCGUGUGUAAGGUAGUGAAAUGCCUUAGUAUUCUUAUGUGGUCAUUAUUAAGCCAAACAUUACGCAGUAAAAAUACCAAGUUUCCUCUAGGAUAGCCGGAUUAUCCAUAAAACACAUUUUAAUGUUUUUCCAACGCUUUCCGUUAUUUCAACCUUUUUCUGAACUAUGGUAACUAUCCUUGGUCAUGAGGUCUUGCUAUUUGAAAAGCCGAGAUUGUGUAAACAAGGUAUCCUCAUUACCAUUGUUUACUUUCUGAUGUUUAUUAUAAAAGAGUGUUUGUGUGUAGAAUUAAGUUGUUCACAAAAAUUCCCAUGGAUGGAUUUACCGUUUAAUUCGUGUACUACUACAAAUUUUUCUUUUGUACGAAAUCAGUGCCUUGUUUUGCGACAUAAUUUCAGUGAAAAAAUAUGUAAAUUGCCAAUUCAAAGCGAACAAAGAACGAGAGAGUUAAGGAAAAGUAUUUUUUUGAAUUUUUGUAAUCAAUAUAAUUUAGCUGAAGUGAUGUCAGAAAGUGAUAUAUUAACACAUAUAGAGGGUAGAAAUUGUGUGGAAAUUUUAAGGAAAAUAGAGUGUCGCGAUUCGCUGGCUGAAGCGAUGUACAAUCAAUUUGCUGAUUUGUUGACCCGCAUGGACUGUCAAAAGCCUUAUUCUGUCAGCUGGAAUUGUACAAACUGUUUGGUAAGUUACUGAGUGUUGUAUUUAGUGGAUAAGAUCCUGUUAUAUUAUCAUGCAGAUUAUUGUGUUUAGUUUAGGAAAGAAUGUGAAUUUUCCUAGAAAAUUGUUAUAGUUUUAUAUGAAGUUAUUAGGAAAUCUGCAUUAUAUAUAUCCUGUCAAAAUGAGCUAUACUUCAUAGAAAUAACAUUUUUCAACUUCCCAGUAACCAAGGUAAAUGAUACAAGUGUUUGUAUUAUAUAUAUAUUUAUGUCAAACGCUUUUUUUUUUUAUAUCAAAAUGAGUCUAUAGUCUUGCUAUCACAGCCAAUCUAGCCCAUAUUCCAAAAAAACAUUAGUUUACGUACUAUUUCUCUACAGUAAAAACUGGUUGAAUUUUCUAAUGGGGUUUACACGUAGUAAUCUAAAGCUUACUUCUUAAAGUACAGACCAUUGCAUUGGCAUUUGCAUGGACCUUCUAGUAUACAUUUUUUUUUAAAUUAAACAGAUACCUUUAUACUAAAAUCAAUCAUACUAGCCCACAGCCUCAAAGUACAGUUUCCACCAAAGUUAUUCAUUGAAGUCAAUAUUAUAAUAUUGAUCAUUUGACAUUGUUAAGACAUUUUUUUUGUAAACAGCUCAUUACCAAUAAAUGAAUAAAUAUCUUUAUAAUUUGAAUCAUGUAAUUAGAACUAUUCUAUAUUAUAAAUAUUUUUCUUGUAUCGGUAAUAAAAGAAUGGAAUUCUUAUAAAGCUAUAGAAAUGUUAGACUUUAAAUCUCUGUGGAUAAUACUUAAUAUUUUGAUAUUUGACUAUACAUUGUAACAACCAUUGGCAACAUAAUAUUUUUUUUUAAAAUCCGAUUCAGUAGUAGGUGUUAAUCCAGUUGCAGUAGCAGUAUAGGUACACUUAGAAGACUUCUUGCUAUAAACCACAGUUCGUCGAGUUUAACCAUGUUAUAGGCAGAGGUUUAAAAAAUGUGGUACUAGUAUUUAUGUUUCAGAAUCUUCCGUAUGUAAGGAUUACGAACUAUUCCACACUUUUGUAUCAGAAAUCUGACAUUAUUCUACCCAUCGAUAUUUGAAAAAAAAAUUGUUUAAAGUUUCAUAAAGAAAAGGUAGACUUCGUAGAUUGUCAGGACCUAUCUUCAAAUACCAGAUCUGCACAAACGUUUUAGUUUUCUCUAUAUUUCACAAAAUAUUUUUCCAUCUCAAAGAAUCUCUUUGAGCUCCUCUUCGACCUGAUGAUACAAGGGGAAACCACAACACAAUCAUUAAUUUCUUUCACAUCUUAAAGUGCAGACGAAUUCUAUCUCAUAAUGUUCUUCGACUAUAAGAAUUGCAAUAUGUAAUCCUGAUUAUCAGUAGAUUGGAUAAUUGGCUAGUACACCUGCAACAAGUAUGCAUUAUCUGCAAAAUUCUGUGAUUCAUCUCAGUUUUUACUUGUUAAAUGAAAGUCAUACCACAAGUUAUAUGCUAAAUGGUGUAUAUUUGAAAUGCGUUAUAUUAUUAUAUAUGCAGUAACCAUGCAAUUUUAAAGUUAAUUGUUUUGCAACUUGAUACCAUAAAUAAAGAAGGUAUACGGACAGAAUAAUUUAAUAUAUAUCUAUUAGGCAUGUUUUGGCGACAGAACAAAUACAAAAACUGGCGAAUCGAUAAAUAUAACAUAUAAUUUACACAUUCUAUAAGCCGGAACCAUAACAGAACUGAUAGCAAACUGUUGCAUGCCUGAGGGCAAACAUCUGAUACCGUACACAGCUGGAGUGCCACAUGCGCAAUAUAUCUAAUAUUGAUAAUAUGUACUUAAUAAACUUAUAUAAUAUAGUGGUGCACGUGGAUUUUCUCGUGUGAACAUUCAAUUUAUAGAUUCUGGUAUUUCAAGAAGCUACAUGUAUUUGAACAUGUAACUACAAUGUAAUUAUAACUGUUAACGGUGUCCAGUAACUACAAUGUAAAUAUAAAUGUAAACUGUGACACAGUGUCUUCUUCUUGGUAAUUUACGAGAAUGUAGUAUAGAUUAAUUGUUGCCUUUUUAACGUCCAGUGACACAUAUGUCACUUUAUAUUCAGGAUAGAAACAAAUAGAUAACCCAUACAAUAGGUAAGUUUUGCAAACAGUAGAUUGUAGGGUCAGGAAUUUGGAGUUCCACGUGAAAAAUAAGGCCGGUACACUGGCAUGACUGGAUAGUAAUACAAUCUUUUGAAACAUGCCUACGGACACCUUUGACAGACGUCAUGUGUAGUUUUUGAUAUACACCUACCAAUCAUGUGUAGUUCUGGUAUCAUCCAAUCUAUAUCAUUCAUUUGUAUUUCGAUUUUGUAGUCGAAAAAUCACUCUUAUAAAUUCUUUUUUAGGAAAAAAAAGGGGGGUAUUGUAUAUAUUUAUUCAUCUGGAAAUUUUACAUUACAGGGAAACAUUGUUUGUUUUGAUUUAGUAGGUUUUAAUUUUCUGUGACUGUUUUGUAACAAAAAUAAUAUGUUGAACCUUAUAGAUAUGAAUAAGUAUCUAGAAGAACGUUUUAUCUAUUUAUUUGACUACUUCUCGAAACCGAAUUUUUUUAAAAUGAGUUUGUUAUGUAAAGUAUUUUGUAUAUAUUACAUGUAUUAAGCUUGCUUUCACUUGAAAAAAUUUAAAUCAAACUUUUAACCUUUUUUUUCAAAAAUUUAUCAACAAUUACUUGUCGGAUUUUUAAGUAGAAAUAUUGUACAAAUCAAUAGCAAAACUAGCAAACAUUUUAAAGGACUCCAUUUUUUUUAUCUAAUGACCUUUAUCAAAAAGGAUAUGAUUUACUCACAUGCAAUGGUAUUGAUGGGUAAAGAGAAAAUAGAGGAAGCAUUUCACGUGAUGGCAAGUGAUGGCAAGGGAAAACUUUUUCGUGCUUUGAUAUAAAUAUAAAAAAAGGAGAUGAAUUAUGAAUGAAAUUGAGACAAGUAUCCACCAGAGUCCAAAUGUCGUGUUUAAAGAAACCAUAAGUCACUAUAAAGCCUUCAACAAUGAGUUAAACCUAGAUUGUAUAGUGAACUGUUUACAUGCCAUUAUGGCAUAACACGACUGAAUUCAAACGAGAAGUCAACAGCUCGAAUAUGAUCCAUAGAAAACGAGGGAAAACAAACAUUACAAACAUCAACUUACCAACGACAGACACUGAGUUACAGACUCCUGGCUUGCAUGAAGGUAUAGAAUGUGGCUGAUUUUAACAUGUGUGUGAGCGUACAACCCUCUCCUCACCUGCGACAGUGGUGUAUAAGCACAACUUAAGAAUUUAAGAACACUCUAUACAAGUUAGUCUGAAAUGGCUUAGACUCGUCAGAUUGGCACGAAUCAACGCAAAAAAAAAUAACAUAAAAACAAAAGACACAAAGUACAAAAGACACAAAGUAUCGAUAUUAGAGUUCUCGCAACAACGGAAAGCUAGUUCAAAGCCAAUAAUAACAACUAAUAAAUAAAUGAUGUUGUCACAGGCAGACUAUGGUGUCAAUUACUUGACAGUCUUAUGCAACUAAGAUUCCAUCCGUGCUUCCUACUUUUUGCAAUCUUGAAUAUUUGAGAUACAUAUCAACAGAAAAGCAAAGCAACUGAGUGUUGUCAAUCCUUAUAUUGUUAUGUAAAAUGUCAAAAGCUCAAUGCCAGAUUAAAUCCUUUACUAAGUAACUGCCUCGAGAUAACAGCUUCUUAUUUUUAGUAUACAGUACUCUUUUGAAGUUGUUUCUUCAAAGCAAAACCUUAAUGCAAGUAGAAAUUCAACACCUAAAUCAUUUCCCUUUUCCUUAAGUAUAAAAACAUUCCUCAGAAUACAAUAAAAUAUAUGAUGAGAUAGUUUGAUCAGCGAAAUGUUUUUUUCUCUUAUUCAUUGUUUCGAAUUUAAGUUAUUUCCAAUCGUUUUGGUAUAGUAUGGUGAUGGCGAUCGGGAAAAUCGGCUACUAUCAAAUUUUCGCAACUAGCACCUUUUAAAGUUUUCAAACCAGAUCCCAGAAUCUGAAGGUUCAGUACGCGUAUGUUGAAGUUGUGCUCUUGCUAUCAUCUGAGACUACUAUAACACAUAGUAGUCUCAGCUAUCAUUGAAUUGUUUUAUGGUACUUUUCACUUCCUAUUCCAAAUAUUUAAACUUUCAGUAUAGAGCAUUCUCCAUUGUUAAACGGAAACAUCGUGUGUAACCUGGCCAUUUGAGUCUUUGAUGAAAAAAAAAGAUUUUUUAUCGAGACAAAUUUUGUUAAAAUCUGGUUAAUACUAUUUAGUUAUGCAAGAAAAACUGUCUCGGUUUACUCUUCAAUGGUUGAGAUGUUCUAUUGCAUGCAUCUAAUUAGACAUUUCAGUUUCAUUUUAGAAGCAAACUACUUUAAAGUUGACAUUAUAGAGGAGUAUCACUCGGAAUUCUGAAUAUAUUAACAUUGCCAAUGGUAUUGAUUUAUUGUUGACACUCAGUUUAACUGUUAUACCAAUACUUCAAAUCUUCGAACAAAACAAAAUUUAUUUUACCAAAUCAGUUGAAUUGAUAUGGAAAAACUAAUUAGUUGCCAAGCUAAAUGAAAAUGUGAGUUAACAUGGAUAAUUUCGCUGUAAUUUCCAUUGUUUAUUUGUCCAAUAAUCAGUUUCAUCCUUCACUAUGUCAGUUGUCCGGACAGGUGUGAUAAUUACUGAUGAUAACAUUCUUUUCAGUUGAUUACUUUAAUAAGUAUAAUUACCUUGUUAGUUAUCAGGAAUAGUAACGAUAUAUAAUGACAAUCGUGAUCAAUUACCUGUUGCUGGAGUUCCAUAUAGAAUAGCUGAGGGAACUGGAAGCCAUCUCUAUUCAUAAAUACAAGGAUUCCUAUCUUUUUAAACGUCAGAUCAAAAUGAGAGAGUAUUCUAGAUACCAUCUCCCCGUCUGUCUGUUCGUGACUCGGUUCGUGACACAUUUAUGUCGAUGUUUUCCCCACGCAACAGCAAAAUAUUAUCUAAAUUUCUUCUUGUAUGUGAAUCAAACACAAUUUUUUGUACCAAAACAUAUUACACGUUUCCUUUAUGGGAUUUUUUUUUGAAAGAUUAAAUCUUUUAAAAGUCAUGCAAAUAUGAAUUUUUUGACACAUUUUCCUACUACAAUUACACGUAUCACAAAAAUACUGAACUCCGAGAAAAAUUCAAAACGGCAAGUCCCUAAUUAAACGAGAAAAUCAAAUGAUAAAACACAUCAAACGAAUGGACAACAACUGUCAUAUUCCUGACUUGGUACAGGCGUUUUCAAAUGUAAAAAAUUGUGGAUUGAACCUAGAUUUUAUAGCGCUAAACCUCUCACUUGUAUGACAGUCGCAUCAAAUUCCGAUAUAUAAGCUCAAAGUGUUUCUUUCGAAUGCAAACAUAUAGACGGUUGGUCUCCUGUUUGAAUGGUUUUCCAGUAGUAUGUUUUGUGGCCCUUCAUAGCUUGUUGUUCGGUCUGAGUCAAGACACCGUGUUAAAGACCUUACUUUGGCCUAUAAUUGUUUACUUUUUACAAAUAGUGACUUGAAUGAAGAGUUGUCUCAUUGGCACUCAAAUCACAUCUUCUUAUAUCUAUAUAAAUGUAAUUGCAAGUAAAGAUAGUAUAAGAAAUUCAGAAACAACUGCAAUGAGCAAAGAAAAAGACAAACUUAACAUAAAAUUAAGUCGAUUCAGCAACAGCAACACUUAAGCGAAAUAGGUUUACCAAAUAAACUAUCACGAUAACAAAUCAUUUACAUGUUUUAAGGUAUUAGCUAAACUUCCUUGAUUAUCAGUUUUCUGUAUAAACAAUAGAAGCAAACGUCGGUUCAAUGUUUUACUUAGCUUUACACACGUGACUUUUUUGUAUACACCUUUACUCGCAAUACAUCUACAGUUCCUUUUAAAAGAUACUAUUAUCUUUAAAGUCUUCUUUUGUUCUCUUUUCAGUAACAGACAUAUACUUAAUGUUUUUACAAAUUGAAUAUACUGUGUUAUGCUCCAGUAUUGGAGCACCCCAACAAUGAUUCCAGUAAUCAAAAGUGUUAUGUCGUAAGAUAACCAAGACUUGUUCAUGGUGUAAAACUGCUUAAAUACAUUCCUGAAAUGACUGCAUGUUCAGAUAAGAUACAGACCGCUGUUUUGCAGAUAACAAAAUCUCGAUGCUCAAAGUACGAAUGUAGAGAACAAGUUAAUUUAAUAGGAAUUUUUGUCAUAAAAAUAUAGAAGAAUUCAAUCUUUACAUGUUUUAUUACAUCAAUGAGAUACCAUAUUUCAGAUUGGUACAUAUCAAGUUUAAUUGAAUACAUUGGAUAAAUUGAAUACCUCUUUUUGUUACGGUUUCUAGAAUACUGAAAAUAGCAUUUCAGAAGGAAGUAACUAAUUUCCGGAUCUUCGGUUCUGAUGUUCUCAAUUGUUCUCAUUUUAACAUAUAUAUAAUUGGGCUUUAUAUUUGUCAAUAUCUUUACAUCUAGUGUGUUCGAUGUGUAAAAUAUUGACUAAUACAGUUCGUACACAUCUUAUAAUGAGCUGAAGGCCUGAUAUGAAACAACUAUUUCAUUUAUAGUAAGAAUUUGAUUCCUUCGAAGCUAGCCGACUUAUAUAUAGACACAUUUCAAAGGCGG
rnacentral:lncRNA from 1 species